ensembl:lncRNA
AGUACCAGACCGUCUUCCCUGCGCUCUUCAACACACACUACAUACACAGAUUGGAGCGGACCAAAACUCCACCCUCGGGGUCAUCUGAGGGUCGUCCGCCCUCCGUCAACCUCCCAUCCCUGAGGCAGGGCCCAGAGCUAGAGAUCCUCACACACACACUCAUCUCUAUAAUCAGGAGUCUGCUGGAUGAGCCCCAGUUCCCCGCGAGCAUCCAGAACGACCGUGACGAUCCCGUGCCCUACUUCACCCAGCUCCGACCCCCUCCACCUCCCCGGCCACCACCCUCCUCCGCCUCCCAGCCCUCCUUAGCGCACUGUGGCAGCCCGGACACGGGGGUGAGAGACGGGGGGUCAGGAGUCACAGGGGUCCCCCCGCUGUCCCCACCUCCGUGCCGGCUCAUGUCACCGUCACUGCAGCCUGACUCCGCCCGAAGGGUAGCCACUGAGCAGGCAGGGGUGGCGGAGGAGGCUUCCCAGAAUGCACUGCGGGAGGAGCGGGAGCGGAAGACUGAGGAAGCGAUACGCAGGUUCCCUGAGUUUGGUGACCUGGUGGAGGAUGUCUUGAUGAACACGCUGAAGAACCUGAUGACUGAGGCCUUCCUUGGGGAGCUGGUGCUCACUGCUCGGCCCCGAAUCAUUGCCCUCCCUCCUGUUACCCCACCCUCCUCCAACAGGAAGGGCAGUGUGAGCUCACAUAAGAUGUCCAGAUAUCAGUCCUUGCCAGACACAGCCAAGGACCCCCUCAGUGGCCCCAAAACCAACCCGGGGCCCGACAUGCCCCCCUCGGCCUCCCGCUCCUACACAGCUCCACGGCAGUGACACAGCAUCAUCUGCCACUUAGUCACUCCUCUUUUAUAUUCUGUUUGGUAUGCAAUAAAUGUC